rfam:Triticum aestivum genome assembly, contig: Triticum_aestivum_CS42_TGACv1_scaffold_272920_3DS
GGAGAGAUGGCUAAGUGGACUAAAGCAGUGGAUUGCUAAUCCGUUGUACAAUUUUUUUGUACCGAGGGUUCGAAUCCCUCUCUUUCCG